GAUGAAGAACGUAGCGAAAUGCGAUAGGUAAUGUGAAUUGCAGAAUUCAGUGAAUCAUCGAAUCUUUGAACGCACAUUGCGCCCAUUAGCAUUCUAGUGGGCAUGCCUGUUCGAGCGUCAUUUCAACCCUUAAGCCCUGUUGCUUAGCGUUGGGAGCCUACAGUACUGUAGCUCCCCAAAGUUAGUGGCGGAGUCGGUUUCACACUCUAGACGUAGUAAUUUUUUCUCGUCUGUAGUUGAGCCGGUCCCCUGCCGUAAAACACCCAAUUUAUCAAGGUUGACCUCGGAUCAGGUAGGAAUACCCGCUGAACUUAAGCAUAUCAAUAAGCGGAGGA
rnacentral:misc_RNA from 1 species